rnacentral:tRNA from 1 species
CACUGCAUAGCUGCUACAGCAUUAACCUUUUAAGUUAAAGACUGAGAAAAAAAAUCUUCUCUGCAGUGA